GGGGCUUUAUCAUGGUGAUGGGGACGGUGCUGGCAGCGCCCGUGCCCCAGUGCGGCGGGCCUGCUCGGGAACCGGGUUUAAUCUCCUCAACAGAGGCUUUUCUUGGCCAUUUAUGUUCUUCUGCCAAGUCGGCUCAGGGAGGGGACUUGCUGUCAGCGCCAAGACUUUCUCACAUGGCCAAGGCACUUUGCUUCAGCAGGUGACUUGUUGAGCCAUCCCACCUGCACUCACGUGCGGCAGGAGACCCCAGGUUGGGCUCUGGGUGAAGUGACCGGGUAACUCACCCCCGAGGGAGGAUGCACCAUCCAGCCCAGCUCUGCCGUUGCCGUUGUGGAGUCCAUCAGCGUCUCUGCGGGAGGAAGGAGAAACAAGGAGUCAAUGGCCACCGAGUCAACACCCCGAGGCUGGCAAAGGGGAAGGGGGUGGAGAGGAGCCAGAACCGGGACGGGGCCACCGAGCCCGCACUGCGCCGUGCCGCGGGCAGAUCUCGGCCUCUCCUCCAGAUCGGCUGCCCCAUCCAUUGCCCAUUCCUCCUCUCCUGCAGUGCAGAGGGAUGUGCUCUUCCACCUACCAGCCCAGAUGGACUUUCCUCCUCAAAAUCCAGGACCAGGUACCACAGUGCAGGGCAGCUCUGCUGCUGAGAAACCCUGAGAGGGUUUCUUCUGUCAUCUCCCAGUUUCUUUUGCAAAAGCAGGGUAUUUUUUAACAGCGUUUUGCACGGUAGGCAGAAUCCUUGGUGAUGCGGUAGCACACGGGAAGGAACAGCACUUUUGGGACUUAAAAGCACUAAAAAAUUAAACCAACACUAAAGCAGGUUUUCCAGGCAAUUUAGGUUGAAAUAGGUCAGGCGAUGCUACCGCUGACCAGCGCGGAGCAGAGAAAGUCUCCCUAAGCCACACGGGCAGCAAAGUCUCCUUGUCCUGUCUACAGCUCAUCACGCUUCCAGCACUGAAGUUUUUUGCACCCCAAAUAGCUAUCGGUUGGCCUAACUACACUGAUGCCAUGAGAAGGGAUGCUUGGGUUAUGGUUCUGCAAUACUUGGGUUAAUGUUGGUAGGUGUUCCCCAUGCAACACGGGAAUGGGCCCGAUGGCCCCAUCAGAAACACACUGGACAGACACUUCCACGGGUGUAACUGUCCUUCCUCCAGGUCUGUGGUCGCACGCUCAUUACAACACAGGGAUUUUUCUGCACCGUGCUCAAUGCUGAUGUUUUAAGAAAAUAGGACAAUGUUCCAGUGUUUAGGAAACGGGGUUUAGAAAUCGCACCCAUAGGUUUCAGCACGCCAAGGCUGGGCUUGGGAAGAGCAUGGCGGGAGCUUGUGGGACAGACGGCACAGGGCAGCGUGCAGCCCGUGGUCCUGCGGCUGAGACCAGGGUGAUGCCCACAAAAGAAAUUACAUCCCUCUGCUCUGCAGGGAGAAUGUGAACCUGCCCUGAUGUCAGCACUGCACUCGGGAUGCCAGCUGCUGGAAAGCAUCCAUCACCACACACGCGAGACACAAACACUAAAUCAAGCUUGCAGCUUCACUUUCCCUGCCCUCCGAAUGCCGUCCAGCUUUAGGGCUCCACAGCUCUCAAGGCAAAUCACAGAAUCACAGAAGCCCAGGCUGGUUGGGCUGCAGGAGCUCUGCAGAUCCCCAGCCCAGCCCUGCCAGCGCAGGGUCACAGAGCAGAUCACACAGGUGGGUCCAGGGGGUGUGAAUGUCUCAGAGCAGGAGACUCCACACCCGCUCUGGGCAGCCUGGGCCAGGCUCUGGCACCUCCCAGCAAACAAGUUUCUGCUCAUGUCCAGAUGGAGCCUCGUGUGCUUCAGUCUGUGCCCGUUGCCCCUCACCCUGGCGUUGGGCACCACUGAACAGAGUCUGGUCCAUCCUCUGACACCCACCCUGAGAUAUUGAUCCAUUGAUCAGAUCCCUCUCAGCUUCUCUUCUCCAGCUCAACAGCCCCAGCUCUCUCAGUGUCUCCUCAUCACAAAGAUGCUCCAGAGCCCUCAGCAUCUCUGUAGCUCUCACUGGACUCUCUCCAGUAAUUCCUUGUCCUUCUGAAACUGGGGAGCCCAGCACUGGCCCCAGUUGUGCAGAUGGGGCCUCCCCAGGGCAGAGCAGAGGGGGAGGAACAACCUCCCUGACCUGCUGCCCACACUGUUCCUCACACACCCCAGGUCCCAUUGGCCUCUUGGCCACACGGGCACAUUGGUGACUCACGGUCAAAAGCAGCUUAUGCACAAGAUGCACCCCACCCUGUGCAGCCCAGGGAGAACAUUCAACCCGCAGAACCCCAGUGCUGUCAAGAUCCCCAGCCACCCUCCUAUAACCCAACAAGCUGUACCAGUUCCCAUGGCCACAAGGAUGGAGAGUUAGUGGCUGUAACCGUGUCCCACUGCACCGCACCACCAAAAAAACAAGCACCCUGCCCCAAAUCCCCAGAAAGCAUCUCCCCCUUCUCCACUUCCACUGCACUGAACAAAACUAAAGGAGGAAAAGCUCGGCCUUGAGCAGGCCCGUCACCGAAGAGACGAGCCCGGCUGAGCACCGGCCGCGGUGCAGCACGUGGGCUCCCCGUCCCAUCCGCAACCCGAAAAGCGCCUCGGCACAGCGCUCCCUGCACCUACCGCUGGCACUAAAUCAUUUUCAACCCGUGGGCUGUUCGAUCCUCCUGGUUACAGCCAGCGGUUUCCAGUUCACAGGAAACCAGGAUUUCAAACUUUGGUUCUAUUCCAAGAGUAAAAAGCAAAAAUAGUUCUGUUCAGAUUUUCCCACUAGGAAGAGCUCUGGAAAACAGCUCGUCCAGAAAGUUGUCAUUCGGAUUUAUGAAAUUCCUUUUUUAACUGAAUACUUGUUUACAUAGUUCCAUAAUGGUGUUUAUUUUAUCAGAGUAUCUGGCUUUUUCAUUAAAACACCAGUGGCACUUUGAUCUGGAAGGAAAACACCAUUUUUCACGCAGUGCCAGCUAGAAGCUUGGAAGAAAGACUUAAAAUUGUUACUUUAUCUCAACUAUCAAUGACAGGGACGUGUUGUAAGGAUAUUAACAGCAGUGACUAUCAUGUAAAAGAAGACACACUAUAAAACAGUACAAAUAAUUCCUCAAAUAAAGAUAAUAUUUUGAAGCAUUU